rnacentral:rRNA from 1 species
ACUAUCAUUAACUGAAUCCAUAGGUUAAUGAGGCGAACCGGGGGAACUGAAACAUCUAAGUACCCCGAGGAAAAGAAAUCAACCGAGAUUCCCCCAGUAGCGGCGAGCGAACGGGGAGCAGCCCAGAGCCUGAAUCAGUGUGUGUGUUAGUGGAAGCGUCUGGAAAGGCGCGCGAUACAGGGUGACAGCCCCGUACACAAAAAUGCACAUGCUGUGAGCUCGAUGAGUAGGGCGGGACACGUGGUAUCCUGUCUGAAUAUGGGGGGACCAUCCUCCAAGGCUAAAUACUCCUGACUGACCGAUAGUGAACCAGUACCGUGAGGGAAAGGCGAAAAAGAACCCCGGCGAGGGGAGUGAAAAAGAACCUGAAACCGUGUACGUACAAGCAGUGGGAGCCUCUUUAUGGGGUGACUGCGUACCUUUUGUAUAAUGGGUCAGCGACUUAUAUUCUGUAGCAAGGUUAACCGAAUAGGGGAGCCGAAGGGAAACCGAGUCUUAACUGGGCGUUAAGUUGCAGGGUAUAGACCCGAAACCCGGUGAUCUAGCCAUGGGCAGGUUGAAGGUUGGGUAACACUAACUGGAGGACCGAACCGACUAAUGUUGAAAAAUUAGCGGAUGACUUGUGGCUGGGGGUGAAAGGCCAAUCAAACCGGGAGAUAGCUGGUUCUCCCCGAAAGCUAUUUAGGUAGCGCCUCGUGAAUUCAUCUCCGGGGGUAGAGCACUGUUUCGGCAAGGGGGUCAUCCCGACUUACCAACCCGAUGCAAACUGCGAAUACCGGAGAAUGUUAUCACGGGAGACACACGGCGGGUGCUAACGUCCGUCGUGAAGAGGGAAACAACCCAGACCGCCAGCUAAGGUCCCAAAGUCAUGGUUAAGUGGGAAACGAUGUGGGAAGGCCCAGACAGCCAGGAUGUUGGCUUAGAAGCAGCCAUCAUUUAAAGAAAGCGUAAUAGCUCACUGGUCGAGUCGGCCUGCGCGGAAGAUGUAACGGGGCUAAACCAUGCACCGAAGCUGCGGCAGCGACGCUUAUGCGUUGUUGGGUAGGGGAGCGUUCUGUAAGCCUGUGAAGGUGUGCUGUGAGGCAUGCUGGAGGUAUCAGAAGUGCGAAUGCUGACAUAAGUAACGAUAAAGCGGGUGAAAAGCCCGCUCGCCGGAAGACCAAGGGUUCCUGUCCAACGUUAAUCGGGGCAGGGUGAGUCGACCCCUAAGGCGAGGCCGAAAGGCGUAGUCGAUGGGAAACAGGUUAAUAUUCCUGUACUUGGUGUUACUGCGAAGGGGGGACGGAGAAGGCUAUGUUGGCCGGGCGACGGUUGUCCCGGUUUAAGCGUGUAGGCUGGUUUUCCAGGCAAAUCCGGAAAAUCAAGGCUGAGGCGUGAUGACGAGGCACUACGGUGCUGAAGCAACAAAUGCCCUGCUUCCAGGAAAAGCCUCUAAGCAUCAGGUAACAUCAAAUCGUACCCCAAACCGACACAGGUGGUCAGGUAGAGAAUACCAAGGCGCUUGAGAGAACUCGGGUGAAGGAACUAGGCAAAAUGGUGCCGUAACUUCGGGAGAAGGCACGCUGAUAUGUAGGUGAGGUCCCUCGCGGAUGGAGCUGAAAUCAGUCGAAGAUACCAGCUGGCUGCAACUGUUUAUUAAAAACACAGCACUGUGCAAACACGAAAGUGGACGUAUACGGUGUGACGCCUGCCCGGUGCCGGAAGGUUAAUUGAUGGGGUUAGCGGUAACGCGAAGCUCUUGAUCGAAGCCCCGGUAAACGGCGGCCGUAACUAUAACGGUCCUAAGGUAGCGAAAUUCCUUGUCGGGUAAGUUCCGACCUGCACGAAUGGCGUAAUGAUGGCCAGGCUGUCUCCACCCGAGACUCAGUGAAAUUGAACUCGCUGUGAAGAUGCAGUGUACCCGCGGCAAGACGGAAAGACCCCGUGAACCUUUACUAUAGCUUGACACUGAACAUUGAGCCUUGAUGUGUAGGAUAGGUGGGAGGCUUUGAAGUGUGGACGCCAGUCUGCAUGGAGCCGACCUUGAAAUACCACCCUUUAAUGUUUGAUGUUCUAACGUUGACCCGUAAUCCGGGUUGCGGACAGUGUCUGGUGGGUAGUUUGACUGGGGCGGUCUCCUCCUAAAGAGUAACGGAGGAGCACGAAGGUUGGCUAAUCCUGGUCGGACAUCAGGAGGUUAGUGCAAUGGCAUAAGCCAGCUUGACUGCGAGCGUGACGGCGCGAGCAGGUGCGAAAGCAGGUCAUAGUGAUCCGGUGGUUCUGAAUGGAAGGGCCAUCGCUCAACGGAUAAAAGGUACUCCGGGGAUAACAGGCUGAUACCGCCCAAGAGUUCAUAUCGACGGCGGUGUUUGGCACCUCGAUGUCGGCUCAUCACAUCCUGGGGCUGAAGUAGGUCCCAAGGGUAUGGCUGUUCGCCAUUUAAAGUGGUACGCGAGCUGGGUUUAGAACGUCGUGAGACAGUUCGGUCCCUAUCUGCCGUGGGCGCUGGAGAACUGAGGGGGGCUGCUCCUAGUACGAGAGGACCGGAGUGGACGCAUCACUGGUGUUCGGGUUGUCAUGCCAAUGGCACUGCCCGGUAGCUAAAUGCGGAAGAGAUAAGUGCUGAAAGCAUCUAAGCACGAAACUUGCCCCGAGAUGAGUUCUCCCUGACUCCUUGA